AAUAGAUACCCGGGUAGUCCACGCCGUAAACGAUGAGUGCUAAGUGUUAGGGGGUUUCCGCCCCUUAGUGCUGCAGCUAACGCAUUAAGCACUCCGCCUGGGGAGUACGGUCGCAAGACUGAAACUCAAAGGAAUUGACGGGGGCCCGCACAAGCGGUGGAGCAUGUGGUUUAAUUCGAAGCAACGCGAAGAACCUUACCAGGUCUUGACAUCCCAUUGACCGCUAUGGAGACAUGGCUUUCCCUUCGGGGACAGUGGUGACAGGUGGUGCAUGGUUGUCGUCAGCUCGUGUCGUGAGAUGUUGGGUUAAGUCCCGCAACGAGCGCAACCCUUGUUCUUAGUUGCCAUCAUUUAGUUGGGCACUCUAAGGAGACUGCCGGUGACAAACCGGAGGAAGGUGGGGAUGGACGUCAAAUCAUCAUGCCCCUUAUGACCUGGGCUACACACGUGCUACAAUGGACGGUACAAACGGUUGCCAACCCGGCGAGGGGGAGCUAAUCCGAUAAAACCGUUCUCAGUUCGGAUUGUAGGCUGCAACUCGCCUAC
rnacentral:rRNA from 1 species